rnacentral:rRNA from 1 species
UACGUAGGGGGCAGGCGUUGUCCGGAAUCAUUGGGCGUAAAGAGCGUGUAGGCGGCCAGAUAAGUCCGCUGUGAAAUCUCGAGGCUCAACUUCGAGCUGUCGGUGGAAACUGUCUGGCUAGAGUCCGGAAGAGGAGAAUGGAAUUCCUGGUGUAGCGGUGAAAUGCGCAGAUAUCAGGAAGAACACCCGUGGCGAAGGCGGUUCUCUGGGACGGUACUGACGCUGAGACGCGAAAGCGUGGGGAGCGAACAGG